rnacentral:rRNA from 1 species
CGAAGGGGGGACGGAGAAGGCUAUGUUGGCCGGGCGACGGUUGUCCCGGUUUAAGCGUGUAGGUGUGUGUUCCAGGUAAAUCCGGUUCACUUUAACACUGAGGCGUGACGACGAGGCACUACGGUGCUGAAGCAACAAAUGCCCUGCUUCCAGGAAAAGCCUCUAAGCAUCAGGUAACAUCAAAUCGUACCCCAAACCGACACAGGUGGUCAGGUAGAGAAUACCAAGGCGCUUGAGAGAACUCGGGUGAAGGAACUAGGCAAAAUGGUGCCGUAACUUCGGGAGAAGGCACGCUGACACGUAGGUGAAGUGAUUUACUCAUGGAGCUGAAGUCAGUCGAAGAUACCAGCUGGCUGCAACUGUUUAUUAAAAACACAGCACUGUGCAAACACGAAAGUGGACGUAUACGGUGUGACGCCUGCCCGGUGCCGGAAGGUUAAUUGAUG